rnacentral:tRNA from 2 species
GGCGAGUAUAACCCAAUAGGUCAGAGUGUCAGAUUGUGAAUUCGAAAACACGGGUUCGAAUCCCGUUAUUCGCCGC